UCGGAACGUGCCCAGUCGUGGGGGAUAACGCAGCGAAAGCUGUGCUAAUACCGCAUACGAUCUAUGGAUGAAAGCGGGGGAUCGCAAGACCUCGCGCGAUUGGAGCGGCCGAUAUCAGAUUAGGUAGUUGGUGGGGUAAAAGCCCACCAAGCCGACGAUCUGUAGCUGGUCUGAGAGGACGACCAGCCACACUGGAACUGAGACACGGUCCAGACUCCUACGGGAGGCAGCAGUGGGGAAUUUUGGACAAUGGGCGCAAGCCUGAUCCAGCAAUGCCGCGUGCAGGAUGAAGGCCUUCGGGUUGUAAACUGCUUUUGUACGGAACGAAAAGGCUCCCUCUAAUACAGGGGGCUCAUGACGGUACCGUAAGAAUAAGCACCGGCUAACUACGUGCCAGCAGCCGCGGUAAUACGUAGGGUGCGAGCGUUAAUCGGAAUUACUGGGCGUAAAGCGUGCGCAGGCGGUUUUGUAAGACAGAUGUGAAAUCCCCGGGCUCAACCUGGGACCUGCAUUUGUGACUGCAAGGCUAGAGUACGGUAGAGGGGGAUGGAAUUCCGCGUGUAGCAGUGAAAUGCGUAGAUAUGCGGAGGAACACCGAUGGCGAAGGCAAUCCCCUGGACCUGUACUGACGCUCAUGCACGAAAGCGUGGGGAGCAAACAGGAUUAGAUACC
rnacentral:rRNA from 1 species